ACCGGGGCACCGCUGAGCGAGGCGAGGUGACGGGACCGCCCCGCAGUCCGAGCCCGCAGUCUGAAACCCGCAGCGAUGCCGCGGCCGACCUCUGCGGAGGCUGACGCAGCGAUGCUGUGCGAACAGCCGCAGCGGGGACCCCGCGACGCCCGCCUCCGCCUCUUGCUCGGCCCCGCAGCCCCCGCCCUCCGCCGCGCCACGCAACGUCCUACCUGCAGGUGACCUGUUUCGUCCAGCCGCCGCCGCUGCCGUCGCUGCCGCCGCCCCCUCCUCCCGCCCCCGGGGACGGGGCAGCGACUGUGGGGAUAGAGGAACUGUCAGAAUCCCUGCUGAUGGAAGUGCGCAGGUGGGCCUGGCGGCAGACAUCUUGGAAUCCCACCAAUGUAAAGGCUUGAGUAUCACAAUAACUGCAAGUUCGAGACCAGCCCAGGCUAAAUAGAUCCUGACAAAAUAAUAACAGUAAUGAUGUAAAUA
ensembl:antisense Gm10244 predicted gene 10244